UAUAUAUACAGUAUAUACUGUAUAUAUGAGUAUAUGAGUGUUUAUGUGUCAAGUCUCCACGUGAACCUGUUCUUCUUCCUGGUCCUAUUCUUCAACAGGCGUGCAAGUGGUGCAGGACAAAAUGCAGGAGAAAGUGCUGAGAAAAAGAGAAAAGAAAAAGAAAGAAGAGAUGAAGCAAGAAGAGAGAAAAAAAGAAAGAGAUAAAGAAACAUUUAGUUUGAACGCGUUCCCCUUGCUGCAGGCUCUGUGGCGAGGUCCUGCAGGGGACCCAAUAAGGAGGUGCACACAGUGGGUCUGCAGGGGACCCAAUAAGGAGGUGCACACAGUGGGUCUGCAGGGGACCCAAUAAGGAGGUGCACACAGUGGUCCUGCAGGGGACCCAAUAAGGAGGUGCCCACAGUGGUCCUGCAGGGGACCCAAUAAGGAGAUGCACACAGUGGU
ensembl:lncRNA